rnacentral:rRNA from 1 species
UACAGAGGGUGCAAGCGUUGCUCGGAAUCAUUGGGCGUAAAGGGCAAGUAGGUGGUCUCAUUUGUCUUGUGUGAAAUCCUUGGGCUUAACCCAAGAAGUGCGCAAGAAACGGUGAGACUCGAGUUCUGGAGAGGGUCGUGGAAUUCCCGGUGUAGCGGUGAAAUGCGUAGAGAUCGGGAGGAACACCAGAGGCGAAGGCGGCGACCUGGACGAGACACUGACACUCAACUGCGAAAGCGUGGGGAGCAAACAG